rnacentral:misc_RNA from 1 species
AACGCACCUUGCGCCCUUUGGCUAUUCCGAAGGGCAUACCUGUUUGAGUAUCAUGAACACCUCAACUCUCAUGGUUUGCCAUGAUGAGCUUGGACUUUGGGGGUCUUGCUGGCCUGCGGUCAGCUCCUCUCAAAUGAAUCAGCUUGCCAGUGUUUGGUGGCAUCACAGGUGUGAUAACUAUCUACGCUUGUGGUUUCCACCAGGUAACCUUCAGGGAUGGAGGUUCGCUGGAGCUCAUAAAUGUCUCUCCUCAGUGAGGACAGCUCUUUGAACAUUUGAUCUCAAAUCAGGUAGGACUACCCGCUGAACUUAA